GCUGGGCGCAGUGGUGCAUACCUAUAAUCCCAGUGGCUUGGGAGGCUGAGACAGGAGGAUCGAGAGUUCAAAGCCACCCUCAACAAUGAUGAGGUGCUCAGAAACUCAGUGAGACCCUGUCUCUA
rnacentral:sRNA from 1 species